rnacentral:rRNA from 1 species
AUGUAAUGCAAUUCCUACAAUGUUAAUGCACUAGAGCCCAUUAGAACUACAUAUUUAAGCAUGCUUGGGCUAGAGUACUACAUGGAUGGAUGACCUCAUGGGAUGUCCUAGUGUUUUACAUU